rnacentral:rRNA from 1 species
UGGCCUGGCCCAGUUGAACCAAUGUUGUUUCAACGGCCGCGGUAUUCUGACCGCGCGAAGGUAGCGUAAUCACUUGUCUUCUAAUUAGAGACUAGUAUGAACGGCCACACGAAGACUUGACUGUCUCCCCUGUCCAAUCAGUGAAACUGAUCCCCUCGUGCAGAAGCGAGGAUAGACCCAUAAGACGAGAAGACCCUAUGGAGCUUUAAACUCAAUAUUAACUACUUUUUUUAUACCCUCUAAGGAGCCAACAAAUAAAUUUUUAACUUAAUAUUAGUUUUAGGUUGGGGCGACCAUGGAGAAAAAAAAAUCCUCCCUGAUGAUUUGUAACCAAGAGCCACAGCUCUAAGUAUUAAGAUACUUAACUUCCAUUGACCCAUUUUAUGAUCAACGAACCAAGUUACCCUAGGGAUAACAGCGCUAUCCAUUUCAAGAGUUCCUAUCGACAAAUGGGUUUACGACCUCGAUGUUGGAUCAGGGCAUCCUAGUGGUGCAACCGCUACUAACGGUUCGUUUGUUCAACGAUUAAAGCCCUACGUGAUCUGAGUUCAAACCGGAG